rnacentral:misc_RNA from 1 species
ACUUUGUCUGCAAUGGCGAAGAGAGUUGCAGUGAUCGGGGCUGGGGCAGCCGGGCUGUGUGCCGCCCGUCACCUGAGUGCCAGCCCUGAUCUAUUUAGUGUGGUUUGUUUUGACAUGAGUUCGACAGUGGGAGGGACCUGGAAUUACACUGAUCUCACGGGAAAGGACGAGCACGAUCUCCCUGUACAGUCGUCCAUGUACAAAAAUCUCAGAACCAAUUUACCAAAAGAAGUGAUGGCCUUCCCUAACUUUCCUUUCCAAACUUCCAAGCCUUCUUACAUAGUGCACCAGGAUGUUUUAGAAUAUCUAGAGAGUUACGCAGCUCACUACAAUCUAUACAAGUACAUCAAGCUAAACACUAUGGUUACCAAUGUCCACUCCAGACCAUGUGAAGGAGAGAGGGAAUUAUGGGAUGUGUCGUACUGUCCAGUGUCUGCUCAGGACAAGAUCCUUACCCAGGAAUUUGAUGCUGUAAUGGUCUGUAAUGGUCACUAUGCUCUGCCUCUGUAUCCCACAAUUCCUGGAAUGGAGGAGUUCAAAGGUCAAGUGGUACACAGCCAUGACUACAGAAUUCCAGAAAUAUUCCGAGGAAAGAGGGUAGUGUGUCUCGGAGCAGCUGCCUCUGGACAGGACAUAGCCAUCGAUGUUUCCUCGGAAGCUAAAUUAGUGUACUUGAGCCACAACAAAGCAAGGCUUGAGACAUAUCUCCCAGAAAAUGUAAAACAGAAGCUAGGAAUCCAGGCAUUAGGACCACACUCUGUUAUAUUUUUGAAUGGAGAGGAGGCGGAGAUAGACAUCCUACUGCUUUGUACCGGAUAUCAUUAUCACUUCCCCUUCCUGUCCGAGGAUUGUCAGGUCCAGAUCUCUGAUGAGAGACUCACCCCUCUGUACAAACACUUGAUCCACAUCGAUCACCCAACAAUGGCAUUCAUUGGCAUUCCUAAGACAAUUUGUCCAUUUCCUCAGUUUGACGUACAGGUGCGAUUCUUCUUGUCGGGGCUGUCAGGGAGAUUCAGACUUCCAUCCAAGCCUGACAUGUUGUCCGACACAGAGAGGGACUUCCAAAGGAGGUUGUCUGAGGGUCUACCCCCGAGGUACGCCCAUGUCCUCGGCCCCAGGCAGUGGGAGUAUAAUGACGAGCUGGCACAGUUAGCGGACAUUGAGCUCAUCCCUAGGGUGGUACAGAAACUGUAUGAUUAUGUCCACGAAACCCGAGUCAAAGACAUUGUUCAUUACAAAAACAGGAAUUAUAAACUAGUCAAUUCUGAGGACUUUCAAGCUUUAUAGCAGGACUGGGUCUAAGGAAUGAAUCCUUUUAUAAUAAUGGUUGUAUCUAUUAACACAUUGUACAGACUGUUUAUCUUUUAAUGAAUUUUUAGCUCAUCUAGGCCACAGACUUGAGUUAAGCUUUUCUGAUCAGAUCCUUUGUUGUCAAGCCAUCUAUUUGUAUAUUGUCUGUAACCUUCCCACAAUUUUCACUUUGUCUCCAGAACUCACCCGACUGAUUUCAUCAAAAUUUGGUACAAUUCAUCAUUGUGCCUCCCUUCAAUAUUGCUUUGCUGUUGUCUGUCGGUCGGUCGGUCCACCAACAGUUUCCGUUCAUUAUCUUCACAGUGGAUGCACAUAUUGAUAUGAAAUUUGGUAUACAGGUUUAUCAUAACAAUAUCUAGGUCAAGUUCAAUUUUGGGUAAGAUCGAGAAAUGUUUUACAUAGUUAUGCCCCUUAGACUUAGAAAAAUUUCAAUUAAUUGCAGUUUCCGUUCAUUUUCUUCACAGAGGAUGAACAUAUUGAGUUGAAAUUUAGUAUACAUGUCUGUCUUAAUAAAAUCUAGGUCAAGUUCGAUUUUGGGUACAAUCGAAAAAAAUUUGACCGAGUUAUGGACUUUGAAAACUCCAAUUGCAUUGUAUUUGCAGUUUCCGCCAUACAUUUUCUUUGUAGAGGUUGUACUUACUGAGAUGAAAUUCGGUAUAAAGAAUAUUCUAAAAGUACAAUCAAGCAUUUUUUGACAGAGUUAUGUGUCUUGGACGAAGAAGAAUUUCAAUUAUUUGCAGUUUUGCAAGAUAGUGCAAGCUCCUUUUUUCAGCCAUAACCACAAGAUUAUAAAUGAGGCACAUGGAGGUGUGCAAGGCUAAGAAUAGGCAAAUUUUAAGGGAUUUUUUUUUUUAAAUCUGGAUUUUUUUAUGGAAGGAAUGCUGAGUUCCUUAUAAGAUAUGGAAAAAUGUAGAAGAUUGUUUCUGGUAUUUGGGUAAAACUAAUGAAUAAAUAGGAAAACUUUCUUUAAUUAUAUAGAUAUUGAUUUGUAUAAAUUAUGAUCCCAGAAAUCAGGGUUUGGGAAUCAGAGAUAGAAUUAUAAGAAAAUAUAGUUUUGUAUACAUGUACACUUUUAAAGUAUUACUCAGAAAAAUGAUGUUGCCCAUGGGCUUCUUGUUACCUAUUGGAUUUUAAUUACAUGUACUAAUAAAUUGAUUUUGAUAAUAAAAAUUUUAAGAA